rnacentral:rRNA from 1 species
AGAGUUUGAUCCUGGCUCAGGAUGAACGCUAGCGACAGGCUUAACACAUGCAAGUCGAGGGGCAGCACAGGUAGCAAUACCGGGUGGCGACCGGCGCACGGGUGAGUAACGCGUAUGCAACUUACCUAUCAGAGGGGGAUAACCCGGCGAAAGUCGGACUAAUACCGCAUGAAGCAGGGGCCCCGCAUGGGGAUAUUUGCUAAAGAUUCAUCGCUGAUAGAUAGGCAUGCGUUCCAUUAGGCAGUUGGCGGGGUAACGGCCCACCAAACCGACGAUGGAUAGGGGUUCUGAGAGGAAGGUCCCCCACAUUGGUACUGAGACACGGACCAAACUCCUACGGGAGGCAGCAGUGAGGAAUAUUGGUCAAUGGACGAGAGUCUGAACCAGCCAAGUAGCGUGAAGGAUGACUGCCCUAUGGGUUGUAAACUUCUUUUAUAAAGGAAUAAAGUCGGGUAUGUAUACCCGUUUGCAUGUACUUUAUGAAUAAGGAUCGGCUAACUCCGUGCCAGCAGCCGCGGUAAUACGGAGGAUCCGAGCGUUAUCCGGAUUUAUUGGGUUUAAAGGGAGCGUAGGCGGCCUUUUAAGUCAGCGGUGAAAGUCUGUGGCUCAACCAUAGAAUUGCCGUUGAAACUGGGGGGCUUGAGUAUGUUUGAGGCAGGCGGAAUGCGUGGUGUAGCGGUGAAAUGCAUAGAUAUCACGCAGAACCCCGAUUGCGAAGGCAGCCUGCCAAGCCAUUACUGACGCUGAUGCACGAAAGCGUGGGGAUCAAACAGGAUUAGAUACCCUGGUAGUCCACGCAGUAAACGAUGAUCACUAGCUGUUUGCGAUACACUGUAAGCGGCACAGCGAAAGCGUUAAGUGAUCCACCUGGGGAGUACGCCGGCAACGGUGAAACUCAAAGGAAUUGACGGGGGCCCGCACAAGCGGAGGAACAUGUGGUUUAAUUCGAUGAUACGCGAGGAACCUUACCCGGGCUUAAAUUGCAGAUGAAUUACGGUGAAAGCCGUAAGCCGCAAGGCAUCUGUGAAGGUGCUGCAUGGUUGUCGUCAGCUCGUGCCGUGAGGUGUCGGCUUAAGUGCCAUAACGAGCGCAACCCUUGCCACUAGUUACUAACAGGUAAAGCUGAGGACUCUGGUGGGACUGCCAGCGUAAGCUGCGAGGAAGGCGGGGAUGACGUCAAAUCAGCACGGCCCUUACAUCCGGGGCGACACACGUGUUACAAUGGCGUGGACAAAGGGAAGCCACCUGGCGACAGGGAGCGAAUCCCCAAACCACGUCUCAGUUCGGAUCGGAGUCUGCAACCCGACUCCGUGAAGCUGGAUUCGCUAGUAAUCGCGCAUCAGCCAUGGCGCGGUGAAUACGUU